GAUUUUUACCAAAUAACGUUUAUUUUUACGAGGAUGUUUCCGUAACCGGCUUCCGUCUCCGCACUCGUAUCCUACGGGAUCUUUGUUGCAGAGACGGAAGCCGGUUACGGAAAUGGGGCCGAAACUGACCCGUGAAUCUGCCCACGACCGUACUCCGUCUUUUCCGUCGAGUGGUUUAACUUGCUCGCUGUAGGAUCUUUGAUGAGAGCCCACAAGGGCC